UACGUAGGUGGCAAGCGUUGUUCGGAAUUAUUGGGCGUAAAGGGCGCGUAGGCGGUUUGUUAAGUCAGGGGUGAAAUCCCGGAGCUCAACUCCGGAACUGCCUUUGAUACUGGGUGUCUUGAGUGUGGAAGAGGUGAGUGGAAUUCCGAGUGUAGAGGUGAAAUUCGUAGAUAUUCGGAGGAACACCAGUGGCGAAGGCGGCUCACUGGUCCAUUACUGACGCUGAGGUGCGAAAGCGUGGGGAGCAAACAGG
rnacentral:rRNA from 1 species